rnacentral:rRNA from 1 species
UACGUAGGGGGCAAGCGUUGUCCGGAAUCAUUGGGCGUAAAGAGCGCGCAGGCGGUCGUUCAAGUCGCGUGUGAAAGCCCCCGGCUCAACUGGGGAGGGUCACGCGAUACUGAUCGACUCGAAGGCAGGAGAGGGUAGUGGAAUUCCCGGUGUAGUGGUGAAAUGCGUAGAUAUCGGGAGGACCACCAGUGGCGAAGGCGACUACCUGGCCUGUUUCUUGACGCUGAGGCGCGAAAGCUAGGGGAGCAAACGGG